rnacentral:rRNA from 1 species
GACGAACGCUGGCGGCGUGCUUAACACAUGCAAGUCGAACGAUGAACCCGGAGCUUGCUCUGGGGGAUUAGUGGCGAACGGGUGAGUAACACGUGAGUAACCUGCCCUGGACUCUGGGAUAAGCGUUGGAAACGACGUCUAAUACCGGAUAGGACCUUGGAUCGCAUGAUCUGGGGUGGAAAGUUUUUUCGGUCUGGGAUGGACUCGCGGCCUAUCAGCUUGUUGGUGAGGGAAUGGCUCACCAAGGCGUCGACGGGUAGCCGGCCUGAGAGGGUGACCGGCCACACUGGGACUGAGACACGGACCCGACUCCUACGGGAGGCAGCAGUGGGGAAUAUUGCACAAUGGGCGAAAGCCUGAUGCAGCAACGCCGCGUGCGGGAUGACGGCCUUCGGGUUGUAAACCGCUUUUAGUAGGGAAGAAGGGCUUCGGCUUGACGGUACCUGAAGAAAAAGGACCGGCUAACUACGUG